ensembl:snoRNA small nucleolar RNA, C/D box 69
UACGCAAAGCAUAUGACAAGAAAACACUGGAACUGACUCUGCAUGAAGUGCAUUCAGUCCAACUGAGCUUUGUGUC